GCAGGGUAGGCAUCAAGACUCUGCCUCUGAGACCCCACACCCCCCACCCGGUUUGACUUUCCCACCAGCCCGCCGGCCCGGCAACGCGCCCUCGGCUGGCACAGGGGUACCAGAGCCCGGCUCCUUUCUUCCUUUCUUUCUUUUUUAAAUCGCUCUAGCGCAAACCAGGCAGUGGGUCAGGGCCCAGAGGCGGGGGAGGGAAGAGGAGAGGGUUGUCUCUGAAAGAGGGGAAAAAAGGAAAGUGAGGCUCCCAACUCCGGGAGAAGAACGGCCUGCCGCAAGUUUCCCGGCUGGUGCCAGUUUGGGGAUUUGCGAAUCAGACCGGAGCGGAGGGAAAGGCAGGCGAGAAAAAAAAAAAAAAAAAAAAAGCCCGCAUUAAAACUAACCAGCUCUGCCUAAAAGCACGCUUUUCACCCUUAAAUAAGACAAUGACGAGGGGAGAGAAGAGACGAGUUAUUUCUCACUCUUUAAUUAUUCCAAUGCUUAGCAUUAUUUAAAAAAAAAAAACCACACACAUUAGCCAAUGAUACAUUCUAACCCUCAACAAAGCUGGUAUUUUUCUCUGAUUACAGACUUUGCCGCGGCAAACCCGGGCUCCGACGACAGAGGCAGCGCAGAAGCGCGCUCCUAAAUGAGACACAAUUUUAUUAAAAUCAUAAUAAUUCCUUGCAUUUCUAUAGCGCCUUUUCAGCAGCGGAGAUCCCAGGUGCCCCCAUGCCCGGUUCUACAAGGGAACUGGCGACCAAAAAGCUCAGUCGUGAGGCAGGCGAGGCUCGCCAGCUCCACAGAGUGCCACCGGCAUGUAUCUUUCUUUCUUUUUUUAACAGCCCGUUUCCAUCAGCCUCUGUCUCACGCUUAAAAAAAAAAAAAAAGUAAUAAAACUCCUUUAAAUUA
rnacentral:lncRNA from 1 species